GGUCACUGCACGACCAUAAUGGAGGAAUUGGAUUUUUUGCUGAAAGGUCUCCAAAAUUAGACAAACCUGGUAAACAUGACGUGACAGUGGUCACAAUUACGAGGUAGCAUGCCAUCUGCAGUUUUUAUUCGCCUAUACCAUUCCGACGACACCUUAGAACCAAAACUUAUCAACAAAGGUUUGCUGAAGCAGAGCCCUAUAAUAAACAGCCUUCAGACUGGGAAAAGGAUGCUGAACAUCUUCAAGUUGGUAAAUGUAUCUUUUUUUCUGUGAAUGCCUGAAGUGAUUUUAAAAAUUCAAGGUAGAGGUAAGUAAAUUUUAGACUAAGUGGACCAUUUGUUCAAAAGCUAUUUUUAAACUAAAUAUUCAAAAAGUAUAUAUAUAUAUAAGUUUUCUCCAAAGAUGUACAGCCUUUUGUCAAAUUGUGUCAAAAUUGUGUGUGAUGAACUUAAAUUGUGUACAUACUGCUGCAUCACCACUGUCCCUUCGCAUACAAUAUGCAGUUUUAAUACAACAGUUAAAAACAUUAAAUGGCUUAUUACAUCUUUUAAUAUUACAAUAAUUAAAUUUCCCCUAUCUAUAUGGAGAUUUAAAAGUAUAUAUUAAAUUUGUUUUCUCAGUCUUUAUUUUUCCUUUUUUUUUUUGAAUGAUUCUGCAAUUGAUAGCUUGUGUUAACUGCAUCUUAAGUACCAUAUCCUUGUGUAUCCUUGUACUGUACAUAUGACAGCUCAGGGAGGCUGGAGUGUUGGCUAAAUUUGUUCUGAUUUGCAAACAAUUUUUUUUUUUAAUUCAUAAGUGUUACUCUUAAAUACCACUGGUUUCUUGUAUCAGAAACAUUAUAUAAUGUACAUGAGGAUAAUGAGCCAUCCUACUUAAUUAUUUACAACGCUGAGAUAUGAAAGUGUUAUACGUAUAUUUUAAAUGUUCUGUGCUUAUAAGUGAAUUAAUAAUAUUACUUUUACAGACUGGUGACAUAACUUCUGAGGAAAUUCAUUUUGAUUGCACUAUAGUACUACUCCAGGUAUUCCUUAAUUUUAUUACAUAAUGUAGGCCUGUACCUCUUUUGAAAAAAUAAACUGACUGUUCAUUCCAUUCCAUGUAGAUGCAAUUUCUGAAGUUAGAGGUUUCUGGCUUACAUAAAUUCAGUCAUUAGUUAUGGCAGCAUGUUUUUACAUAUUUCCUGACAUUCAAUCAUUAAAUUAAAAUUAACAACAAAAAUGUUAAAAUAUAUAUUAUGUAACCAAUUUAUUCAUUGUUUAGGAUUUUAUUUAUUUUUGUUUUAUUUCAUAUUCUCAUUAUAUAAAUUAUUUACUGAAGAGUAGAGAUUUUGGUUUGAUUUUUUUUACUUUGAAAAUGUUCAUGAAAUAUCAAUUUGUUGUGUAUUAUUUCAAGCAAUAACUCCAGAGGUAUAUGACUAUGUUAUAUGUAGGCCUAUAAGUACAGAAUUGGACUGAACCUGGACUUCUUUGAGUUAAUGACUACAUCAGUGCAAGUUAUUAGCCUACUUGCGUUUUUCUUUUGUAUUGAAAUUGUUUCUUAUACAUUUUGUCAUGGUAGACAGUCACCUUUAAGCUCCGUCCAAGAGGAUAGUGCUCUAGAAACGUUGAUAAAUAAUGAUACUAAAAGUAGCAGUAGAUCUUUCAACACAUUACAGUAAUCUGUAAUUUAAAACAGUGUGGCUGUAUAUGACUCGUGAAAUUUAAUCGCAGUUUAAAAAUCAAAAUGUUAAAAAGAAACACAAAAAGUAAACAAUUUGCAUGCUGUUGGUUUGUCCUUGAUAUGCGUAGCACGUUUAGUUACUGUUGGUAACGAAGGUGAGAUGUAGGGCCUACCUAUGCUUACGGUGAAUAAUAUUACAGUGCCAUUCAAAAUGCAAGACUAAAUUGAAGCCAUUGUGUUCUCCCGGGUAACUACUGGCUUGAUUUUAGUUUUAAAUUAUGAAUAGCAUGGCUAUAUUCUUUUGAAACAAGAAUGUCAUAUUUUGUGUGUGAUAUUUCAGUUCAUUCUAAACCAUGUGUGCUACAGUAAGAAGCCAAAUAAUGUUCCAUUUAAGACUUUCGUUUUGAACUACGUAGACCUGCCUCAGUCAUUUUCACCACGAUUAAACAAUGACAGAAAACCUUGGAAGAAAAUGAAUGACAAAAUAUAUGUCUGAUUUUCUAUUUAUGCUUUAAUUGGUCUUGCACGUCCAUUUGACACGCACUUAUACUGUAUUGCAUGCGUUUUUAAAAAUUUUAUACCAAAGGUAUACCAAAGGUAACAACAAAAACUCGAUUCAAUUUUUUGCGUUAUAAUGUUACAUUUAAACUUAUUUUUGUGACGUUUUUAAAAUGUAGUCAACUUCUGUAGCCUAUUUGGGGGGAACUUUUUAUUCCGUGGCACAACAAGCUUUUAUGCUUUAGAUGUUAACUCUUCUUUCAAAAAAAAAAAAAAAAACAACAACAACAAAUUAAUAAAUAAAAAAGGGCGCAGGCAGCUGUGUGGCUAUAUGUCCUAGUGUUGUCCUUUGCUUUUCAUUGCUUACGGUUGUCCAGGAAGUCGGUAAUAUCUAACGUUUUACCAAGAUGCUUAUAUUGAAGAUUUAUUGUGGCAUAUCUGUGGAAAUGUGUAGAUCUUCUCAAAGAAGAAAAAAGGAAGAAUUCCUCGCACCCUUGGAAUCUACACCAUAAAUGUGGGACAUUAUGUUUUCUUACUCGUUUGCCGUGGCCCGUGUGCAUGUAUAGGUUCUAAGACAGUAAGUAUUCUCAACAGAUAUUAACAACUACCCAGUCUGCUCAGUAAGUUUAAAAAACAAAACAUAUUUAGACUAUGUGAACAGUUUAUGAGGGUGAACUCUAUCGAGAAUGAAGCAAAUUAAGCAUGAAAUUCUUCUGCGAUUUUUUCGUGUGAAAUUAUGCGCGCGUGUGUUUUGGGGGAGGGGGGCGGUGGGCUGUGAUUGAUCUACGCUAUUACUGUCUGAUGAUUGAUUUGGCGACACUAUAUACCCAACAUUCAGAAUUUUGCAAAACCCUGCUUUGGGUGUUUUCGUAUUGUCGUUCUACUGGCCUACAGUUCAAAUAUGGAGAGUACAAUGCAGGAGGGCUCGAUACUAUUUAAUCAGUUUGACUGGAGAAAAGUAUUCAAACCCUCUGUUAACAAAAUACUCAUUAAAACAUCAAUAUUCCGUGAUCACCUCGUGCAUCCGUGUGUAACCCUUUUCGUUUUUUGCUAAGUUCGUUAAUUCCCCGAUUUGUCUCAGUUUCUUUUUUUUAAAAAGUUGGUUUGUGGUAUUUUGUGCUGGCCUCUUGUUACGCGAUUGUAUGAUAACGUGUUUUACAACGAUGUGUGAUCAAUUGAAACAGAACUGGCUUUACUCUGACUUCUAAGACUUAAGUGAACAUGAAAGGAAGUAACUAGACAAAACAACCGUUCGUUAUUUGACAUUGCAGACUGAAAGCAAACUUGAUAUGAAUUGUGCUCUGUAAAUUGAUCUCGGUGGGUUCUGAAAAAAGUCAGAUACUGGGACAAUUAAAAUACAUACUAUCUGCCUUGUA